rnacentral:rRNA from 1 species
GAAACUGCGAAUGGCUCAUUAAAUCAGUUAUCGUUUAUUUGAUAGUACCUUACUACUUGGAUAACCGUGGUAAUUCUAGAGCUAAUACAUGCUAAAAACCCCGACUUUUGAAGGGGUGUAUUUAUUAGAUAAAAAACCAAUGCCCUUCGGGGCUUUUUGGUGAUUCAUGAUAACUUAACGAAUCGCAUGGCCUUGCGCUGGCGAUGGUUCAUUCAAAUUUCUGCCCUAUCAACUUUCGAUGGUAGGAUAGUGGCCUACCAUGGUUUCAACGGGUAACGGGGAAUUAGGGUUCGAUUCCGGAGAGGGAGCCUGAGAAACGGCUACCACAUCCAAGGAAGGCAGCAGGCGCGCAAAUUACCCAAUCCCGACACGGGGAGGUAGUGACAAUAAAUACUGAUACAGGGCCCUUUUGGGUCUUGUAAUUGGAAUGAGUACAAUUUAAAUCCCUUAACGAGGAACAAUUGGAGGGCAAGUCUGGUGCCAGCAGCCGCGGUAAUUCCAGCUCCAAUAGCGUAUAUUAAAGUUGUUGCAGUUAAAAAGCUCGUAGUUGAACCUUGGGCCUGGCUGGCCGGUCCGCCUCACCGCGUGCACUGGUUUGGCCGGGCCUUUCCUUCUGGGAAUCUGCAUGCCCUUUACUGGGUGUGUUUGGGAACCAGGACUUUUACUUUGAAAAAAUUAGAGUGUUCAAAGCAGGCCUUUGCUCGAAUACAUUAGCAUGGAAUAAUAGAAUAGGACGUGCGGUCCUAUUUUGUUGGUUUCUAGGACCGCCGUAAUGAUUAAUAGGGGUAGUCGGGGGCAUCAGUAUUCAAUUGUCAGAGGUGAAAUUCUUGGAUUUAUUGAAGACUAACUACUGCGAAAGCAUUUGCCAAGGAUGUUUUCAUUAAUCAGUGAACGAAAGUUAGGGGAUCGAAGACGAUCAGAUACCGUCGUAGUCUUAACCGUAAACUAUGCCGACUAGGGAUCGGGCGAUGUUAUUAUUUUGACUCGCUCGGCACCUUACGAGAAAUCAAAGUCUUUGGGUUCG